rnacentral:rRNA from 1 species
CCCUAGUAACUGCGAGUGAAGCGGGAAAAGCUCAAAUUUAAAAUCUGGUAGUCUUUGGCUGCCCGAGUUGUAGUCUAGAGAAGUGUUUUCCGCGCUGGACCGUGUACAAGUCUCUUGGAACAGAGCGUCAUAGAGGGUGAGAAUCCCGUCUUUGACACGGACUACCAGUGCUUUGUGAUGCGCUCUCAAAGAGUCGAGUUGUUUGGGAAUGCAGCUCAAAAUGGGUGGUAAAUUCCAUCUAAAGCUAAAUAUUGGCGAGAGACCGAUAGCGAACAAGUACCGUGAGGGAAAGAUGAAAAGCACUUUGGAAAGAGAGUUAAACAGUACGUGAAAUUGUUGAAAGGGAAACGCUUGAAGUCAGUCGCGUCGUCCAGAACUCAACCUGGCUUUUGCUUGGUGCACUUUCUGGUUGACGGGCCAACAUCAGUUUUGACUGUCGGAAAAAGUCCUUUGGAAUGUGGCACCUCCGGGUGUGUUAUAGCCUUUGGUCGUAUACGAUGGUUGGGACUGAGGACCGCAGCACGCCUUUUGGCCGGGGUUCGCCCACGUACGUGCUUAGGAUGUUGGCGUAAUGGCUUUAAGCGACCCGUCUUGAAACAC